rnacentral:rRNA from 1 species
AUACGUAGGGGGCGAGCGUUGUCCGGAAUGAUUGGGCGUAAAGGGCGCGUAGGCGGCGCGGUAAGUCUGGAGUGAAAGUCCUGCUUUCAAGGUGGGAAUUGCUUUGGAUACUGCCACGCUUGAGUGCAGGAGAGGUUAUCGGAAUUCCCGGUGUAGCGGUGAAAUGCGUAGAGAUCGGGAGGAACACCAGUGGCGAAGGCGGGUAACUGGACUGCAACUGACGCUGAGGCGCGAAAGUGUGGGGAGCAAACAGGAUUAGAUACCCUGGUAGUCCACACUGUAAACGAUGAAUGCUAGGUGUAAGAGGUAUCGACCCCUUUUGUGCCGGAGUCAACACAAUAAGCAUUCCGCCUGGGGAGUACGGCCGCAAGGUUGAAACUCAAAGGAAUUGACGGGG